rnacentral:ribozyme from 1 species
AAAAAUGGUGCACAACCUGUUUGUACCACCAAAUCACCCUUUUCUUCUUCUUCUUCUUCUUCUUUUCUUUUUUUUAAUCGGCCGUUGGUAUCGAUUACAGCAAUUUAUUCCUGAGUCACUGUCCCAGAUGAGCAAAACACACACAAGCGGAGAAUCUUCAUUUUUGCAUAUAU